UACGAAGGGGGCUAGCGUUGCUCGGAAUCACUGGGCGUAAAGCGCACGUAGGCGGAUUCCUAAGUCGGGGGUGAAAUCCUGGAGCUCAACUCCAGAACUGCCUUCGAUACUGGGAAUCUGGAGUCCGGGAGAGGUGAGUGGAACUGCGAGUGUAGAGGUGAAAUUCGUAGAUAUUCGCAAGAACACCAGUGGCGAAGGCGGCUCACUGGCCCGGUACUGACGCUGAGGUGCGAAAGCGUGGGGAGCGAACGGG
rnacentral:rRNA from 1 species